rnacentral:rRNA from 1 species
CUCAAUGAAAAUUUAAUAGCCGCAAUAUUCUUGUGCUAAGGUAGCAUAAUCAUUUGUCUUUUAAUUAAAGACUAGAACGAAAGAUCUUAUAUUUUUAUUUCUCUCUUAUAUAUAAAUUAUUUAACUUAUUCUAAAUAUUAAAAAAUAUUUAUAACCUAAAAAGACGACAAGACCCUAUUGAACUUAACUAAAGUUAAACUGGGGUAGUUAAUUAAAUACAAUUUUAAUUUAAAAUUUAAAAACAACCUAAUAUAAUUAAAUUUAUUAAGUUACCAUAGGGAUAACAGCGUAAUAAAUUUCUAAAGAUCUCAUCUAAAAAUUUGCUUACGACCUCGAUGUUGAAUUAAUAAUCUAUUAAAUGCAAUAAUUUAAUAAGAAAGUCUGUUCGACUU